AUGGGUGACGGACCCCAGAUGCUCAGCCACAGAGUUACUGGAGUAUGUAACAUUAGGACAGCAAGCAGCAAACAUGGCACCUGCUGUGCCCAAAAAGACUCCCCGUGGGCUUCUGUACUUCCAAGAUCUCUGUUCUUGCAUCUUACCUUUGCACAGAAACAUCUAUUUCUCCAUGCUGAUGCCUUGGCAAGGGCUGUGGGCUGUACAGCACUGAAGAGGAUUAGGCAUUUACAUGCAUAG
rnacentral:lncRNA from 1 species